GAGGGUAUAGCUCAAAGUGGCAGAGCUCAUGCUUAGCAUGCAUGACGAGGUCCUGGGUUCAAUCCCCAGUACCUCCU
rnacentral:tRNA from 1 species